CCCAUACUAUAAAAUCCUGAACCUGGAAAGGGUAUUGGAAAUUUAUUUCCUAGGGGAAGGAUGAAUCCUAGAGCAGUAGAGAAGAUACUGGAGAAGAGAAAGGAAACUUACAUUAUCUUUCCCCUUUUUUUGAUAAGGACUGAGAUGGAUGAAGUCAGACCAGAGUCAUCCUCUCCCUGAAGGAGGUAAUGAGUUGGACCUCUGCUGUGACCAUCAUAUUACAUUCCAAAGAAGAGCAAACGAAAAACUAGCCAAAGUUUGGAU